GCCUCUUUCGUGGAGAGGAUCAA
rnacentral:snRNA from 1 species